AUUGAACGCUGGCGGCAGGCCUAACACAUGCAAGUCGAGCGGGGUUUUCGGACCUAGCGGCGGACGGGUGAGUAAUGCGUAGGAAGCUACCCGAUAGAGGGGGAUACCAGUUGGAAACGACUGUUAAUACCGCAUAAUGUCUACGGACCAGAGUGUGGGACCUUCGGGCCACAUGCUAUCGGAUGCGCCUACGUGGGAUUAGCUAGUUGGUGGGGUAAUGGCUCACCAAGGCGACGAUCCCUAGCUGGUUUGAGAGGAUGAUCAGCCACACUGGAACUGAGACACGGUCCAGACUCCUACGGGAGGCAGCAGUGGGGAAUAUUGGACAAUGGGCGCAAGCCUGAUCCAGCCAUGCCGCGUGUGUGAAGAAGGCCUUCGGGUUGUAAAGCACUUUCAGUAGGGAGGAAGGGUGUUGUGUUAAUAGCACAGCAUUUUGACGUUACCUACAGAAGAAGCAUCGGCUAACUCUGUGCCAGCAGCCGCCGUAACAC
rnacentral:rRNA from 1 species